GGGGCUAUAGCUCAGUAGUAAAGUGCAUGCUUUGCGUGCACAAGGUCCUGGGUUCAAUCCCCAGUACCUCUG
rnacentral:tRNA from 1 species